GCCUGGGUAGCUCAGUCGGUUGAGCGUCCAACUCUUGGUUUCAGCUCAGGUCAUGAUCCCAAGGUCGUGGGAUCAAGCCCCACAUCAGGCU
rnacentral:tRNA from 1 species